rnacentral:rRNA from 1 species
AGCGAACGCUGGCGGCAUGCCUAACACAUGCAAUUCGAGCGAACUCUUCGGAGUUAGUGGCGUACGGGUGAGUAACACGUGGGAACGUGCCUUUUGUUUCGGAAUAACUCAGUGAAACUUGUUCUAAUACCGAAUGUGCCCUUCGGGGUAAAGAUUUAUCGCCAUUAGAGCGGCCCGCGUCUGAUUAGCUAGUUGGUGAGGUAACGGCUCACCAAGGCGACGAUCAGUAGCUGGUCUGAGAGGAUGACCAGCCACACUGGGACUGAGACACGGCCCAGACUCCUACGGGAGGCAGCAGUGGGGAAUCUUGCGCAAUGGGCGAAAGCCUGACGCAGCCAUGCCGCGUGAAUGAUGAAGGUCUUAGGAUUGUAAAAUUCUUUCACCGGGGACGAUAAUGACGGUACCCGGAGAAGAAGCCCCGGCUAACUUCGUG